rnacentral:tRNA from 1 species
GGCGCCGUAGCCAAGCGGCCUAAGGCAGCGGAUUGCAAAUCCGCCAUCGCGGGUUCGAAUCCCGCCGGCGCCU